AGGACACCAACUGCAUGCUUUGAGAAGAUGAAUGGUUCUUAGGUGUUUUAUGCAUAAGAAUCUUCCAGGGCAUGUGUUAAUAUGGAGCUUGGGAGGUGGGUCCCCCAGAAAACUACAAACCACACUUUGAGAAACACUGAAAUAAACCACUGUUUCUGAGUCUCUCCAGGGCAAAAGGCAAUGGUUGACUGGUGGGUUCCAAAUCUUUAUAGACAAACAGAAAGUGGGUAUUUUUUUACUCAUAGUUUUCUUAGUAUUAGGGCAUGUGAGUAAGAAACUGGGAC
rnacentral:lncRNA from 10 species